UACCAGCACCCCGAGUGGUCGGGACGUUUAUUGGGCCUAAAGCAUCCGUAGCCGGUUCUACAAGUCUUCCGUUAAAUCCAGCUGCUUAACAGAUGGGCUGCGGAAGAUACUAUGGAGCUAGGAGGCGGGAGAGGCAAGCGGUACUCGAUGGGUAGGGGUAAAAAUCCGUUGAUCCAUUGAAGACCACCAGUGGCGAAGGCGGCUUGCCAGAACGCGCUCGACGGUGAGGGAUGAAAAGCUGGGGGGAGCAAACCGG
rnacentral:rRNA from 1 species